rnacentral:rRNA from 1 species
AACGAACGCUGGCGGCAGGCUUAACACAUGCAAGUCGAACGCCCCGCAAGGGGAGUGGCAGACGGGUGAGUAACGCGUGGGAACAUACCCUUUCCUGCGGAAUAGCUCUGGGAAACUGGAAUUAAUACCGCAUACGCCCUACGGGGGAAAGAUUUAUCGGGGAAGGAUUGGCCCGCGUUGGAUUAGCUAGUUGGUGGGGUAAAGGCCUACCAAGGCGACGAUCCAUAGCUGGUCUGAGAGGAUGAUCAGCCACAUUGGGACUGAGACACGGCCCAAACUCCUACGGGAGGCAGCAGUGGGGUAUAUUGGACAAUGGGCGCAAGCCUGAUCCAGCCAUGCCGCGUGAGUGAUGAAGGCCUUAGGGUUGUAAAGCUCUUUCACCGGUGAAGAUAAUGACGGUAGUCGGAGAAGAAGCCCCGGCUAACUUCGUGCCAGCCGCCGCGGUAACAC